CAAUAGUGUAUAUUAACAUUGUUGCAGUUAAAAAGCUCGUAGUUGGAAAUAUUUUUAUUUUUACUUUAUUUUUUUGCCACAAUUGGUUUCUUUUAACUGGUGUGGGGGAAAGGUAGUUUAGAAAUAGAAACACAGAGUUUUCGAUCUUUGAUUUCCACGGCCAUCCGCAUGGGCGUGGAGAGUUUGAGAAGAUGAAGAAGACAGGUUACUUUGAGUAAAAUGGAGUGCUUCAAGCAGGUUUUUAGGACCAUUGAACAGUUUAGCAUGGGACAACGGAAUAAGACUGACCCGAGCGCUCAUCCGCGCGUCAUACAAGAUCGGGACAGUAAUGAUAGACAGGGACAGCUGGGGGCAUUCGUAUUUAGCAGCUAGAGGUGAAAUUCAGAGAUUUGCUAAAGACCAACAUAAGCGAAAGCAUUUGCCAAGUGUGUUUUCGUUAA
rnacentral:rRNA from 1 species